rnacentral:rRNA from 1 species
UACGUACCGUCCAAACGUUAUUCGGAAUCACUGGGCUUAAAGAGUUCGUAGGCGGCUCAGAAAGUUGGGUGUGAAAUCCCUCGGCUCAACCGAGGAAUUGCGCUCAAAACUACUGAGCUAGAGGGAGAUAGAGGUGAGCGGAACUGAUGGUGGAGCGGUGAAAUGCGUUGAUAUCAUCAGGAACACCGGAGGCGAAGGCGGCUCACUGGGUCUUUCCUGACGCUGAGGAACGAAAGCUAGGGGAGCGAACAGG